AGGGAUGGGAUUCAGUGGCAGAAUGCUUGCCUAGAAAGCAUGAGACCCUGGAUUUGAACUCCAGCAUUUCAA
rnacentral:tRNA from 1 species